UGUGACCAUGAGUCCUGCUGGUUAGCUGUGUGCUAACAGUUUUAAAAUGUGGAGCCUGUUUUGUCUGUUACAAUCAAUAAACACUGUAAUAUAAAAUCCUGUCAUACACAGAUAUUUGUUCUAUUCAGCCUUUGUUGUGUUUGUUUCCUUGAAGGACAUCUAUCUGUUUGGAGGACAAAUCUCCAACAAGGAUUCGACAGCGACGUCGUCCAAUGAAAUCCAUAAACUCAGUAUCGCCAAGAUGAAGUGGAAGGUUCCUCUGUAUGUUGGUCUUCCUCCGGCGCGUCGCCACGGCCACGCUGCCUUCAUCCUGCACAGUCACCUGUUUGUGUUUGGAGGGAGGAAUGAAGAGCAGGACUUUAACGACUUGAAGGUGAUGAAGCUGAUCAACCCAUCAGAGAGACAACCAGGUACAUUAACCACCUGUCUGGAGUCAACAAAGUAGAAAAACUUUACAAGUUUCAAUAAAGUCAAGUCAUCUCACUAAAAAAAUUAAAAACUCAAGUGCUAUGCCUAAUAGUACAACAUUAUUUAAUCAUAAAUAGUGUACAACACGUUGUACUCUGAAUAUAUAAUAUCAUAGAAUAAUAAUGUUAAUGUGAUUUAAACAUUUGGAUCACACCAAAGCUGGAUGAUAUUAUACAGAAUAAAAGGUGUUCUUAGUUUAUUUGUCAUUACUUGCAACUUUUGAACAAUUUGAGAUUUUCAGAAUUAAAAAAUAAUGUUACAAGUUUUAGAGCAAUAAAAAGUAACU